GUGCUUGCUUCGACAGCACAUAUACUAAAAUUGGAACGAUACAGAGAAGAUUAGCAUGGCCCCUGUGCAAGGAUGACAUACAAAAUAACAUGGUUCU
ensembl:snRNA U6 U6 spliceosomal RNA